GCGGAGAUACUGUCCACUAUACUAACGAGGAGCUGCGGAGCUAAGGUGCCCGCUCCUGCCCCACGCAGAUCAGCCAUGUAAUCCGGUCCUAGCAGCAUUGUCUGCAGCGCUGCCACUAAAGACCUUGGCAGACAGCAAGAGGAGGGCUGAAAACUGGGCUUGGACAGCUUUUUCUUCAUUAAUACUCCUUGCUUCUUUCUCAGUCUUGCACUGGUCAUCAGCAGUAACUUGAACAGUGCAUCACACAGGAGAACGUGAUUAGCAUGUUUUGCAGCAAACAAAGCACGCCAUUCAUUCUUACACACAGCCCAGCUUUUACUCCACAAAAUGUCAGCUUGCCCUUUCACGAGCUGCAUCCAGUCAACCCUUGCAAUGACAUUCAAACCGGGGGAGCUCAUUACAGUGAACACUGGCUGACAGAAGAUGAGAACUCCACCACUGCAGAGUGAAAUUAUCCACUUCUGUUGUUUUUUGGUGAGCUUGUGCCGUCGAACGAUUUAUCCAACCUCAACGUCGGAAAAAGAUGGGAUCCAUACUUGACAUUUUUGUGUUUCGCCCCCCACACAAAGAAACUCCUUGCUUGAAAGCUUUCAUUUUCUACACUUCUGUGAGAGGAUGUCCACAAGCGUUGGUAACAUAGUGGUGAGCACAGCUGGCUUCCAAGCAGAUUCCCAGCCAAUGUGUUCCUUUUGGCUUCCGUUAUGCUACAUGGCCGGGCGGCACUCUUGUGAGGAUGUCCCUGUGACAUGUGGGUAGAUCGGUGCAUUUUGCGAAGGUUAGGAUCCCUAUGCCGAACAUGUUUCGGUGCCGAACCCGGACAAAGAGGGAUCCUUGGUUGAAGGCAGUCCUUUUUGAGUUCUUCUGGCAAAAGCUGCCCGCAAGCGUUGGUGGUAUAGUGGUGAGCAUAGCUGCCUUCCAAGCAGUUGACCCGGGUUCGAUUCCCGGCCAACGCAUUUUCCUUUGGCUGCUGUAUACGUCACGUCGGCCGAUGACGCGCUUGUUAAAGGCAACCAACCGAAAAUGCGUUGGUGGUAUAGUGGUGAGCAUAGCUGCCUUCCAAGCAGUUGACCCGGGUUCGAUUCCCGGCCAACGCAUUUUCCUUUGGCUGCUGUAUACGUCACGUCGGCCGAUGACGCUCUUGUUAAAGGCAACCAACCGAAAAGUAAAAGGCAGACAAGGGCCUCCCCGUCGGGGAAUCGAACCCCGGUCUUCCGCGUGACAGGCGGAGAUACUGUCCACUAUACUAACUAGGAGCUGCGGAGCUAAGGUGCCCGCUCCUGCCCCACGCAGAUCAGCCACGUAAUCCGGUCCUAGCAGCAUUGUCUGCAGCGCUGCCACUAAAGACCUUGGCAGACAGCAAGAGGAGGGCUGAAAACUGGGCUUGGACAGCUUUUUCUUCAUUAAUACUCCUUGCUUCUUUCUCAGUCUUGCACUGGUCAUCAGCAGUAACUUGAACAGUGCAUCACACAGGAGAACGUGAUUAGCAUGUUUUGCAGCAAACAAAGCACGCCUUUCAUUCUUACACACAGCCCAGCUUUUACUCCACAAAAUGUCAGCUUGCCCUUUCACGAGCUGCAUGCAGUCAACCCUUGCAAUGACAUUCAAACCGGGGGAGCUCAUUACAGUGAACACUGGCUGACAGAAGAUGAGAACUCCACCACUGCAGAGUGAAAUUAUCCACCUCUGUUGUUUUUUGGUGAGCUUGUGCCGUCGAACGAUUUAUCCAACCUCAACGUCGGAAAAAGAUGGGAUCCAUACUUGACAUUUUUGUUUUUCGCCCCCCACACAAAGAAACUCCUUGCUUGAAAGCUUUCAUUUUCUACACUUCUGUGAGAGGAUGUCCACAAGCGUUGGUAACAUAGUGGUGAGCA